AUCAAAUGGAAGCCUGAUCAACUGUUCCUGCUGCUGACACCAAAUGUUCGAUGGGAAGUACAACUGAACAAGAAAGUCUUCCUGUCAACCUCCAAGUUUAAAUUCAAUGUUGGGGAAGUAGUGGAUGUGGAAGUGUUACUGGAGAAUACAACUGGGCAAGACAAAGGGAA
rnacentral:sRNA from 1 species